GAUGAACGCUGGCGGCGUGCCUAACACAUGCAAGUCGAGCGAUUCUCUUCGGAGAAGAGCGGCGGACGGGUGAGUAACGCGUGGGUAACCUGCCCUGUACACACGGAUAACAUACCGAAAGGUAUGCUAAUACGAGAUAAUAUACUUUUAUCGCAUGGUAGAAGUAUCAAAGCUUUUGCGGUACAGGAUGGACCCGCGUCUGAUUAGCUAGUUGGUAAGGUAACGGCUUACCAAGGCGACGAUCAGUAGCCGACCUGAGAGGGUGAUCGGCCACAUUGGAACUGAGACACGGUCCAAACUCCUACGGGAGGCAGCAGUGGGGAAUAUUGCACAAUGGGCGAAAGCCUGAUGCAGCAACGCCGCGUGAGCGAUGAAGGCCUUCGGGUCGUAAAGCUCUGUCCUCAAGGAAGAUAAUGACGGUACUUGAGGAGGAAGCCCCGGGCUAACUACGUGCCAGCAGCCGCGGUAAU
rnacentral:rRNA from 1 species